rnacentral:misc_RNA from 1 species
GGAAGUAAAAGCCGUAACAAGGUUUCCGUAGGUGAACCUGCGGAAGGAUCAUUAUUGUAUAACCGAGGUGCGAGGGCUGUCGCUGACCCGAAAGGUCGUGCACGCCCGAGUGCCCUCACACACAUCCAUCUCACCCCUAUGUGCACCACCGCGUGGGUCCCCCUUUGGCUCGUUCGGAGGGGGGCUUACGUUUUCACACAAACUUUGUAUGCAGUGUAGAAUGUAUUUUUUGUUUUUGCGAUCACGCAAUCAAUACAACUUUCAACAACGGAUCUCUUGGCUCUC